ensembl:lncRNA
AUAACUUCUCGAGCAGCUGGGCUUUCCGAAGGCCCGUUUGGGGCCAAAUGCCUCACCUUCGGGUGGUGCGCGCCCGAGCAUGGCCGCGCGGCCUGGGCCUCCUCCUUGCUCCCCAAGGAGCAGUCACCACCUGCUCUGAAGGAAACCGCUACAGAGCAAGCUCUCUCCACCGCCCUCGGGUCAGGGGCCUCACUAUUCCUUGAGACACAACAGUAUUGAAAUCAGCCAAUUGAUAAGCCUGCAAUGACUCCAAUGUUGAAGUGAAGAGGAAGACUUGCAUGUCUCUCACUUUAAAUCGAAAGCUAGAAACAAUUAAGCACAAUGAGGAAGACAUCCUGAAGCUGAGAUAGGCUGGAAACGAGGCCUCUUGAGUCAGUGAGCCAAGUUGUCAGGGAAGGAAAAGUGCUUAAAGGAAAUUCAAAGUGCUGCUCCAGUGAAUAGACGAAUGAGAAAGCAAAACAGCUUGCUGCUGAUAUCGAGAAAGUUGUAGUGGUCUGGAGAGAAGGUCAGACCAGCCACAACAUUCAUUCUCUUAAGCCAAAGCCUAACCCAGAGCAAGGCCCUAAGUCUCUUCAAUUCCCUGAAGGCUGAGAGGUGAGGAAGCUGCAGGAGAGAAGUCUGAAGCUAGCCAAGGUUGGGUCAUGAGAUAUGUCAGGAAAGACCCUGUCUCCGUAACAAGAGUGCAAGGGAGUCUCAACCAUCAGUGAGAUUUUUAAAAGGCUAUCAAAUAUUUGGGGAUCUUCCCAACCCAGGGAUCGAACCCAGGUCUCUGUCUGGAUUCUCUACUCUCUGGUAGCCUCUCCCUUCUCCAGGGGAUCUUCCUGACCAAAGAAUUGAACCGGGAUCUCCUGCAUUGCAGGUGGAUUCUUUACCAGCUGAGCUACCAGGGAAGCCCCGAGGAAAGAGUACUCAACCAAAAAAUAUAGGAACUAUGGCAUAACAGAGUUGUCAGGCAUUUAAUUAAAAUGCUGUUUUUCUGGAUUUAUUUAUGAAAUUUGUCAGUCUUUUUAAUAU